rnacentral:rRNA from 1 species
UACAGAGGGGGCAAGCGUUGUUCGGAAUUACUGGGCGUAAAGGGCGCGUAGGCGGCCCGCUAAGUCGAACGUGAAAUCCCCGAGCUCAACUCGGGAACUGCGUCCGAUACUGGCGGGCUUGAAUCCGGGAGAGGGAUGCGGAAUUCCAGGUGUAGCGGUGAAAUGCGUAGAUAUCUGGAGGAACACCGGUGGCGAAGGCGGCAUCCUGGACCGGCAUUGACGCUGAGGCGCGAAAGCUAAGGGAGCAAACGGG